rnacentral:rRNA from 1 species
GACGAACGCUGGCGGCGUGCUUAACACAUGCAAGUCGAACGAUGAAGCCGGAGCUUGCUCUGGUGAAUUAGUGGCGAACGGGUGAGUAACACGUGAGUAACCUGCCCUUGACUCUGGGAUAACUGCUAGAAAUGGUAGCUAAUACCGGAUACGACCCUCGGAGGCAUCUUCAGGGGGUGGAAAGAAUUUCGGUCAAGGAUGGACUCGCGGCCUAUCAGCUAGUUGGUGAGGUAAUGGCUCACCAAGGCCACGACGGGUAGCCGGCCUGAGAGGGUGACCGGGCACACUGGGACUGAGAGACGGCCCAGACUGCGAGGGGAGGCAGGAGUGGGGAAUAUUGCACAAUGGGCGCAAGCCUGAUGCAGCAACGCCGCGUGAGGGAUGACGGCCUUCGGGUUGUAAACCUCUUUUAGUAGGGAAGAAGCGAAAGUGACGGUACCUGCAGAAAAAGCACCGGCUAACUACGUGCCAGCCGCCGCGGUAA